GACGAACGCUGGCGGCGUGCUUAACACAUGCAAGUCGAACGGAAAGGCCCCUUCGGGGGUACUCGAGUGGCGAACGGGUGAGUAACACGUGAGUAACUUGCCCUUGACUUCGGGAUAAAUUCAGGAAAAUGGGGCCAAUAACGGCAAGGAAUCUUUGCUGCAUGGUGGGGGUUGGAAAGCUUCGGCGGUGUUGGAUGGACUGGCGGCGUAUCAGCUUGUUGGUGGGGUAGUGGCUUACCAAGGCGUUGAUGGGUAGCUGGUCUGAGAGGGCGAGCGGCCACAUUGGGUCUUAGGGGCGGCACAAGCGCCUACGGGAGGCAGCUGGGGGGAAGAUUGCACAAGCGGCGCAAGGCGGAUGCAGCAGCGCCGCGUACUGGAUGACGGCCUACGGGUUGUAAACCGCUUGCAGCAGGGGCGAAGCUUGUGGUGACGUUACCUGCAGAAGAAGCACCGGCUAACUACGUG
rnacentral:rRNA from 1 species